rnacentral:lncRNA from 1 species
GGAGGGGUCGGACGAGACGAACAAAGGGUCGGCAGCUUACCUUCAUCUUACAGAUGAAGCUUGGGGUCGGGAAAGAACAGGCUUGGGCGGAAAGACUAUGGCUUGGGCAGCGGCGAUGAUGCCCGGUGGUACUCCGGCGGCGGCGGUGCUUCUUGGGGACCACAAGCAAGUUCUUGUGCAGCACGGGGAGCAAGAGGCUGGGCGGAUUGAGAGAGCGGUGUGGAGCGGAGAGGAGAGUUCCUCAGAACUUAGGCGGUGGCGCUGUGAGCACGAACAGGGAGCAAAGCGGGAGGGCAGCGAUG